rnacentral:rRNA from 1 species
UACGUAGGGGGCAAGCGUUGUCCGGAAUCAUUGGGCGUAAAGAGCGCGCAGGCGGUCGUUCAAGUCGCGUGUGAAAGCCCCCGGCUCAACUGGGGAGGGUCACGCGAUACUGAUCGACUCGAAGGCAGGAGAGGGAAGUGGAAUUCCCGGUGUAGUGGUGAAAUGCGUAGAUAUCGGGAGGAACACCAGUGGCGAAGGCGACUUCCUGGCCUGUUCUUGACGCUGAGGCGCGAAAGCUAGGGGAGCAAACGGGG